UACGGAGGGGGCCAGCGUUGUUCGGAAUCAUUGGGCGUAAAGAGCGCGUAGGUGGUUUGGUAGGUUGAAUGUGAAAUACCUGGGCUUAACCCGGGGGCUGCAUUCAAAACGGCCAAGCUAGAGUGUUGGAGAGGGAAGUAGAAUUUCUGGUGUAGCGGUGAAAUGCGUAGAUAUCAGAAAGAAUGACAGUGGCGAAGGCGACUUCCUGGCCAAAUACUGACACUGAGGCGCGAAAGCGUGGGGAGCAAAGAGG
rnacentral:rRNA from 1 species